GGAAGGCCCAUCCUCCCUCCCUCCUGCCUGCCGGGAACCGUGGACGCGCCAUCUGCCGGCGUCAAAAUAACUCGCAGGGCAAUGAGAUGUUUCUCCACAUAUUUUUUUUACAUAUUCGGAAAAGUUGGUGUCGGUGUCAAGGCUGCACUAAAAGAACAUUAAGAAAGAGAAGAAUAAGCCAGGGCCGGAUUUAGAUGAAGAGAGGCCCUAGGCUAUUCCACUUGUGAGGCCCCUCCCAAUCCGCCACCCCCACGAUGAGAGGAAGAUGGAAGAGUACACCAGUUUCACACCGAUGUGCAGCCGAACAUGGCCAAUGAGACACGGGCAGGAAAGCUGCGCUUUUUAUUUAUUGCCAGUGCUAGUGUCGAGUUAUCGGCUUAAAACACUGUUAUUCUGAAAUGGAGGGCAAGGAAAAUUACUGAAGUGUUGUUGAGAGACUACAGUGCGUUGUGACAGCAUAUGUAAGAAAGGCACAUGACAGUGUCAAAGAUAUUAUACACCAGGCCCAUACGAAGCUUUUCAAAAAGCUGGUGGCAUGGCAGGAUUACAAAAAUCUUGCGUGAAAUAAGUGCAUGCAACGCAUAUCACAAGCGUGAAGCUCAAAGACCCUUGCGGCCGGGGUUUAGAUGCUCUCUGGUGCAUUCUGAGCCUUAUUUUGGAGCAUUUCUGCACCAAAUAUAUGACCAAUAUUUCAGAAAUAAUUUUGGUUGAGUCAAGAGUAAUGAGUAUCUAAGAUGCUGGAAAAUCAAAGGUAGACAAAAGUGCUGGAGAAUCAGCGGGUGCAGCAGCAUCUAUGGAGCGAAGGAAAUAGGCAUCGUUUCGGGCCGAAACCCUUCUUCAGACUGAGUAAUGAGUGGUUGGAAUGGGAUGAUUGGGGUCAUGGUUGUAUAGAUUUUUUUAAUCAAGAAUUGAAGCUGUCCUUGUUUUAAUAAUCAAGUUGUACUGUAAAAUGUUAGGUAAAAUGUUAUAAAGGAGCAUGCAAACGUUGCAAAUAAAAUACUGCAAUUUUUUGCAGUAAAUAAAACCUUUUUUUAGAAAAUGUUU